rnacentral:rRNA from 1 species
UACGGGGGGGGGCAAGCGUUGUUCGGAAUUACUGGGCGUAAAGGGCUCGUAGGUGGCCAACUAAGUCAGACGUGAAAUCCCUCGGCUUAACCGGGGAACUGCGUCCGAUACUGGAAGGCUUGAAUCCGGGAGAGGGAUGCGGAAUUCCAGGUGUAGCGGUGAAAUGCGUAGAUAUCUGGAGGAACACCGGUGGCGAAGGCGGCAUCCUGGACCGGUAUUGACGCUGAGGCGCGAAAGCUAGGGGAGCAAACGGG